rnacentral:rRNA from 1 species
AUACGGAGGGUGCGAGCGUUAAUCGGAAUUACAGGGCGUAAAGCGUACGUAGGCGGUUUGCUAAGUCAGAUGUGAAAGCCCCGGGCUUAACCUGGGAACUGCAUUUGAUACUGGCAGACUAGAGUAUGAUAGAGGGGGGUAGAAUUCCUGGUGUAGCGGUGAAAUGCGUAGAUAUCAGGAGGAAUACCAGUGGCGAAGGAGGCCCCCUGGAUCAAUACUGACGCUGAGGUACGAAAGCGUGGGGAGCGAACAGGAUUAGAAACCCUAGUAGUCC